GUAGUCUGUGAUGAUUGCACUCUGAAGUUUGCCUGAUUUCCGCUUGGAAUGUGAAGGCAACUGUAGUCACUACCUCUUCUGAGACAC
ensembl:snoRNA